rnacentral:sRNA from 12 species
GCUUUCAACAUCCCCGUUCCGGAUCAGCGUUCGCCCUUUGCGGAAUAACCGCAAUCGCAUUCGCAUCUGGGGCUGAAGGC